rnacentral:rRNA from 1 species
AGUGAACGCUGGCGGUAGGCCUAACACAUGCAAGUCGAACGGCAGCACAGUAAGAGCUUGCUCUUACGGGUGGCGAGUGGCGGACGGGUGAGGAAUACAUCGGAAUCUACUUUUUCGUGGGGGAUAACGUAGGGAAACUUACGCUAAUACCGCAUACGACCUACGGGUGAAAGCAGGGGAUCUUCGGACCUUGCGCGAUUGAAUGAGCCGAUGUCGGAUUAGCUAGUUGGCGGGGUAACGUCCCACCAAGGCGACGAUCCGUAGCUGGUCUGAGAGGAUGACCAGCCACACUGGAACUGAGACACGGUCCAGACUCCUACGGGAGGCAGCAGUGGGGAAUAUUGGACAAUGGGCGCAAGCCUGAUCCAGCCAUACCGCGUGGGUGAAGAAGGCCUUCGGGUUGUAAAGCCCUUUUGUUGGGAAAGAAAAGCAGCAGGUUAAUACCCCGCUGUUCUGACGGUACCCAAAGAAUAAGCACCGGCUAACUUCGUG